rnacentral:rRNA from 1 species
GACGAACGCUGGCGGCGUGCCUAAUACAUGCAAGUAGAACGCUGAAGAGAGGAGCUUGCUCUUCUUGGAUGAGUUGCGAACGGGUGAGUAACGCGUAGGUAACCUGCCUUGUAGCGGGGGAUAACUAUGGGAAACGAUAGCUAAUACCGCAUAAUAAUGGAUGACACAUGUUAUUUAUUUGAAAGGGGCUAUUGCUCCACUACAAGAUGGACCUGCGUUGGAUUAGCUAGUUGGUGAGGUAAUGGGCUACCUAGGCCAGGAUACAUAGCCGACCUGAGAGGGUGGUCGGCCGCCCUGGGACUGAGGCACGGCCCAGCCUCCUACGGGAGGCAGCAGUAAGGAAUCUUCCGCAAUGGGGGCAAGCCUGACCGAGCAACGCCGGGUGAGUGAAUGAGGUUUUCGGAUCGUAAAGUUCUGUUGUAUAUCAAGGAAGGGUAUGAGAGUGAAAAGUUCACACUGUGACGGUAGCUUAUCAGAAAGAGACGGCUAACUACGUG